rnacentral:rRNA from 1 species
GACGAACGCUGGCGGCAGGCUUAACACAUGCAAGUCGAACGAGUGGCGGACGGGUGAGUAAUGCUUGGGAAUCUAGCUUAUGGAGGGGGAUAACUACGGGAAAAUGUAGCUAAUACCGCGUACCAUACGAUGAGCCCACGUGGGAUUAGGUAGUUGGUGGGGUAAAGGCUCACCAAGCCGACGAUCUCUAGCUGGUCUGCGGGGAUGACCAGCCACACUGGGACUGAGACACGGGCCAGACCCCUACGGGAGGCAGCAGUGGGGAAUCGUCCGCAAUGGACGGAAGUUGACGGAGCAACGCCGCGGUGGUGAUGACGGCCUUCGGGUUGUAAAGCUCUGUUAAUCGGGACGCGGUACCGGAAUAGAAAGCCACGGCUAACUACGUGCCAGCAGCCGCGGUAAUAC